rnacentral:rRNA from 1 species
CUACGGGUUGCACCAGUUAGGUAUAAUCUACAAUGCGCGCAAGCGUGAUAGUUUGAGCCAGAGUGCUUUUCUAUUUGAAAAGCUUUUGCCGAAUGUAAAAAGUUCGGCGAAUAAGGACUGGGUAAGACGAGUGCCAGCCGCCGCGGUAAUACUCGCGGUCCAAGUCGCAGCCAUUUUUAUUGGGUCUAAAACAUCCGUAGCUUGCUGAGUAAGUUUCUUGUGAAAUUUUAUGUCUCAAACAUAAAGCGUGCAAGAAGCACUACUUAGCUAGAGACUGGGAGGCGUAAGAAGUACGUUCGGAGUAGCGGUUAAAUGUGUUAAUCCCGAAUGGACUCACGAUGAGCGAAGGCAUCUUACGAGAACAGUUCUGACAGUCAGGGAUGAAGGCCAGGGGCGCAAAUGGGAUUAGAUACCCUGGUAGUC